rnacentral:rRNA from 1 species
AUUGAACGCUGGCGGCAGGCCUAAUACAUGCAAGUCGAACGCAGUGGGGACGGGUGAGUAACACGUGGGUAACCUCCCAUCAGAGGGGAUAAACCUUGGAAACAGGUGCUAAACCGAUACUGAUGGAUGGACCCGCGUUGCAUUAGCUAGUUGGUGAGGUAACGGCUCACCAAGGCCACGAUGCAUAGCCGACCUGAGAGGGGGAUCGGCCACACUGGAACUGAGACACGGCCCAGACUCCUAAGGGAGGCAGCAGUGGGGAAUAUUCGACAAUGGACGAAAGUCUUAUCGAGCAACGCCGCGUGAGUGAAGAAGGUUUUCGGGUUGUAAAACACUGUUGUUAGAGAGGCGUUACCUAACCAGAAAGCCCCGGCUAACUACGUGCCAGCAGCCGCGGUAAUAC